CUGCUCAUUUCUCUCUGGGUUUUUCUCUUCCCUCCUCAGCGCCCACAAGCCUUUGUCCUGGAUUUGGGACUCUUGGGCCUUACCUGCAGGUCCUGAGCCCAGCUGGUCCUGGAACUGUUCUAUCUGCCUUAUAGGGCAGUGUCCAUCCUUCUCCGGGCCUGCUCUCUGUCUCCCCAGCACAGGAGUCUUCCAGCUUCUUAAGUGGGCCUUGGAGGGGGGCUCAAGGUGGCAUCAUUAUCAGAAAAUGUUAAGAGUGAGAAGAAAAUCCUGGGAGAUGGCUGGAUCCCACCUACUCUUUCUGUUGAGCAUCACUGUUGUUGCUGCUGGCUGAGCACCCAGCCCUCCAUGGGGAGCACCAUUCAACCUAUACAGUGGGCCACGGCUGUGUAAUCUGCAGGCAUUUUCUAUGUGUAGUUAAUUACUAACUAUCUCACAUCCUUGUGUGAGAAUAUCUUGCAGAACUUUGACUAGCACCCACUCACUGUGCCAACGGGCUGAGCAUCAUGAUACAGAAGUGAGAUCAGAGGUUAUAUUGCAAAAAGGACAUGUCCUACAGCACCUAGAACCAGAAGUGAAUGAGCAAGAAAGACAAAGAAGGUUUGAAAUGGGGCUGUCAGAAGCUUGUCUGGGGAAGAGUCUUCCAGUCGUCACGUGUGUGAAAUUUGUAAAUGGAGGAUUCAGUUCU
rnacentral:lncRNA from 1 species